GACGUAGGGCGCGAGCGUUUGUCCGGAUUUAUUGGGCGUAAAGAGCUCGUAGGCGGUUUGUCGCGUCUGCUGUGAAAUCCCGAGGCUCAACCCCCGGGCCUGCAGUGGGUACGGGCAGACUAGAGUGCGGUAGGGGAGACUGGAAUUCCUGGUGUAGCGGUGAAAUGCGCAGAUAUCAGGAGGAACACCAAUGGCGAAGGCAGCACUCUGGGGACGUGACUGACGCUGAGACGCGAAAAGCGUGGG
rnacentral:rRNA from 1 species